rnacentral:lncRNA from 1 species
AAAGGUUACAAAAGGUAAGGUUAUGGAAUAAGACUCAAUUUGAUAAGCAACAUUGAUUGAAGCCUACAACAAUUAAAGAAGAUGAUUGGAUAUUUGUUUAUUACAAUAGUAUGGAUAAUCAACAUAGUGCUAUGUAAAAGUUUUUAAAAUAUUAAUUUGGACCAUAUGUGGUAAUAAUGGUUCAUGAUAAUGUCACAUAUUCAUUAAGAGAGUUAGAUGGUAUGAUGUUGAAGAUACCUAUUGUUAAAAAGUAAGUAAAGAUUUUUAAAAGAUGAAAUAGAAAAAUCAAUAUAGAUGAUCAUACUAAAGAUAUCAAUAUUUUUCAAGAAGAC